rnacentral:tRNA from 1 species
ACCGUUUUGGCAGAAAUUUAUUGCAAAAGACUUAGAAUCUUUACAUCCUUUU